rnacentral:rRNA from 1 species
CCCUUAGAUGAUUUGGGCUGCACGCGCGCUACACUGACCCUAACAAUGAGCAACUGUCUUGCCUGAGAUGGCUGGGUAGCCUUUUCAACCCAUGUCAUGAUUGGGCUAGAUUUUUGUAAGCCUUGAUCUCUAACGAGGAAUCCCUAGUAUGCGUGAAUCAUCAAUCCAUGCAGAUUAUGUCCCUGCCCUUUGUACACACCGCCCGUCGCUCCUACUGAUUGGGUGAUCCGGUGAGCUGUUCGGCCAUAGCAAUGUUUCUUGAGCAGGGCAAUGAAUGUUUCGCAAACCUUGCCACUUAGAGGAAGGAGAAGUCGUAACA